rnacentral:lncRNA from 1 species
GUGAAGAUUUCAUUUUUGUGGUCACGUCAUUUUCUUCCUGCGGGUAGGGACUCAUGAAUUAAAAGGGGGGAGAUCACUGCAUGCAGGUAGAUAGAAAGUUUGCAGAUAUGUUUCAACCACACAUGGUAUAGGCAAAAUAAUCUGCAGAUCACUACUGGCCGGUUCUAAUGCAGUUUCAGAGCAGCAGCCUUCAUCUCAUUGUGUGGCUGAACCAUUGAGUUCUCUUGUGCUUCAUUGCUUAUAUUCUGUUCAGAUUUGUCUUAAUUCGUCAUUGGUGCUAUGCAGAUUUAGAAAGGACUCGAGCAGUUCCUGGACAACAAGAACUUGCUGACACCUUACAGCUGCUAGACUGGCAUGGUCCAUGCUAAUAGAAUCGCCAUGGCUUCUAGUAAUUCCGUAUAGCAUUUCUCCUAAAUAUGCUAGGCAAUGGC